rnacentral:rRNA from 1 species
AAAUUGAAGAGUUUGAUCAUGGCUCAGAUUGAACGCUGGCGGCAGGCCUAACACAUGCAAGUCGAACGGUAACAGGAAACAGCUUGCUGUUUCGCUGACGAGUGGCGGACGGGUGAGUAAUGUCUGGGAAAUUGCCUGAUGGAGGGGGAUAACUACUGGAAACGGUAGCUAAUACCGCAUAACGUCGCAAGACCAAAGAGGGGGACCUUCGGGCCUCUUGCCAUCGGAUGUGCCCAGAUGGGAUUAGCUAGUAGGUGGGGUAACGGCUCACC